CCCCUAGAUGUUCUGGGCCGCACGCGCGCUACACUGAACAGUUCAACAAGUCUUAACCUUGGCCGAUAGGUCUGGGUAAUCUUUGAACGCUGUUCGUGAUUGGGAUAGACCUUUGCAAUUAUGGGUCUUCAACGAGGAAUUCCUAGUAAACGCAAGUCAUCAGCUUGCAUUGAUUACGUCCCUGCCCUUUGUACACACCGCCCGUCGCACCUACCGAUUGAAUGGUCCGGUGAAAUCUCGGGACGGCGGCUUGGUCGCUUGCGUCCGACUGCUGAAACUUGAUUAAACCAUAUCAUUUAGAGGAAGGUGAAGCCGUAACA
rnacentral:rRNA from 1 species